ACACGACUCUGGAGAGUUCCCUCAAAAAGGACGCCGAAGGUGUACGGAUAGCAAUAUCUUAAUCUCUCAGGCCAAAGGACGGAGCA
rnacentral:ncRNA from 1 species